UUCUGACAAAGACGAGCUCCAAAUUCCCGCUGCUGCUAGUGUCGCCGAGGUCAAGACGACGAUCUUACGCUCCGUGUCUGACACAAAUCGUGGCAAGCAUCGUAUAAGCAUCCUGAGAUGUUUUGCUCGUGGAACUUGCACUCCCGACUUUGAUUCGCGAUCCUCGAGCUUGAUUAAUCUGGGAAGGAAAAGAAAGAAGAAAGCAAAACGGUAAACCGAUUCUUGACAAGGCCGACCAGUUCCUCCGUAUUCCAUUAUUUUCUUCUUCGUCUUUCGAUCCUUUGACGUUGGUGCUACUUCCGGGCCUCGGAUUCACUGGCUGCUGCUGGACAUCCAUUAAAUCCAAGUCCCAAGCUCCGUACUGGGGGUUUUCCAUCCGGACUUGCUCUGGAGGAACAACGUUAGCAGUGCUAUGGGAGCUUUGGUGGGCUUUGUGACGAGGGAAACUCUUUGCUGCGAAAGAAGAAUUACUGAUGCAAAUCUUUGAGGUUGCUCGCAGCUCUUUGGAAAAGUUUUACAGGCUUAGUCGACUGUUUGGUGGGGCUGGUCACCAUCUACCUGGACGAGUAGACAAACCGCCUGUAAUCCUGUCCAGGAUAUUGGCUUGGUUCCAAUCAAACAUUACACUGAAGUUACCUGUC